rnacentral:tRNA from 1 species
UCCCUGGUGGUACAGUGGAUAAGAAUCCACCUGCCAAUGCAGGGGACCCAGGUUCAAUUCCUGGUCUGGGAA